GGGAGGGUAGAGCGCGUGCUUCGCAUGCACGAGGUCCUGGGUUCAAUCCCCAGUGCUUCCA
rnacentral:tRNA from 1 species